rnacentral:rRNA from 1 species
AUUGAACGCUGGCGGCAUGCCUUACACAUGCAAGUCGAACGGCAGCACGGGGCAACCUGGUGGCGAGUGGCGAACGGGUGAGUAAUGCAUCGGAACGUACCUUUCAGUGGGGGAUAACGUAGCGAAAGUUACGCUAAUACCGCAUAUUCUGUGAGCAGGAAAGCAGGGGAUCGCAAGACCUUGCGCUGAUUGAGCGGCCGAUGUCAGAUUAGCUAGUUGGUGAGGUAAAGGCUCACCAAGGCGACGAUCUGUAGCGGGUCUGAGAGGAUGAGCCGCCACACUGGAACUGUGACACGGUCCAGACUCCGACGGGAGGCAGCAGUGGGGAAUUUUGGACAAUGGGGGCAACCCUGAUCCAGCCAUGCCGCGUGAGUGAAGAAGGCCUUCGGGUUGUAAAGCUCUUUCGGCCGGGAAGAAAUCGCACGGGCUAAUACCCUGUGUGGAUGACGGUACCGGAAUAGGAAGCACCGGCUAACUACGUGCCAGCCGCCGCCGUAAUAC